rnacentral:tRNA from 1 species
CCGACGACUGGGCCGCGAGGCCGUGCCGCUCCAGUCCGCGCAGCGCGCGCUCGGUGUCGUGCUCGCCGAGC